CCUACGGGUGGCAGCAGUGAGGAAUAUUGGUCAAUGGACGCAAGGCUGAACCAGCCAUGCCGCGUGCAGGAAGACGGCCCUAUGAGUUGUAAACUGCUUUUGUACGAGGGUAAACGCACAUACGCGUAUCUGUCUGAAAGUAUCGUACGAAUAAGGAUCGGCUAACUCCGUGCCAGCAGCCGCGGUAAUACGGAGGAUUCAAGCGUUAUCCGGAUUUAUUGGGUUUAAAGGGUGCGUAGGCGGUUGGAUAAGUUAGAGGUGAAAUCCCGAGGCUCAACUUCGGAAUUGCCUCUGAUACUGUUCGUCGAGAGUGUAGUUGCGGUAGGCGGAAUGUAUGGUGUAGCGGUGAAAUGCUUAGAGAUCAUGCAGAACACCGAUUGCGAAGGCAGCUUACCAAGCUACUUCUGACGUUGAGGCACGAAAGCGUGGGGAGCAAACAGGAUUAGAUACCCGAGUAGUC
rnacentral:rRNA from 1 species